AUUGAACGCUGGCGGCAUGCUUUACACAUGCAAGUCGAACGGUAACAGGCCGCAAGGUGCUGACGAGUGGCGAACGGGUGAGUAAUGCAUCGGAACGUGCCCAGUCGUGGGGGAUAACUACUCGAAAGAGUAGCUAAUACCGCAUACGAUCUUUGGAUGAAAGCGGGGGACCGUAAGGCCUCGCGCGAUUGGAGCGGCCGAUGUCAGAUUAGGUAGUUGGUGGGGUAAAGGCUCACCAAGCCAACGAUCUGUAGCUGGUCUGAGAGGACGACCAGCCACACUGGGACUGAGACACGGCCCAGACUCCUACGGGAGGCAGCAGUGGGGAAUUUUGGACAAUGGGCGCAAGCCUGAUCCAGCAAUGCCGCGUGCAGGAAGAAGGCCUUCGGGUUGUAAACUGCUUUUGUACGGAACGAAACGGCUCUGGUUAAUACCCGGGGCUAAUGACGGUACCGUAAGAAUAAGCACCGGCUAACUACGUG
rnacentral:rRNA from 1 species